AUACUUUCAACAACUACUAUUAA
rnacentral:snRNA from 1 species